CAAUCUUUGUUUGUUUCAGCAUCCUUAUCCUUCGGAGGACCAGAAAAAGCAACUAGCUCAGGAUACGGGGCUUACGAUACUACAAGUUAAUAAUUGGUUUAUCAACGCCAGGCGGAGAAUAGUACAGCCAAUGAUCGAUCAGUCAAAUCGAGCAGUAUUUUCUCCGCAUGCAGGUCCUAGUGGAGCUUACAGCCCUGAUGGCACGAUGGGUUAUAUGAUGGGCGACCAACAAAUGAUGCAUCGGCCGCCAGGAGAUCCAGCUUUCCACAAUCAGUACGCUCAUUAUCCCGCCGAAUACUACGGACAUCAUCUGUGAGGUGAGUCACGUUUUUGUGUUCAGUUUCAUCACUAUCGGGUACACGAACGGACACGAACACAUUGGUUCACAGAAGAAAUACCUUGGCAUCUUAUGCUAAGACAAUAAUACAAAUUAGGAAAAUCAUUUCAAAAUUUCAGUAGCGAAUACAAAAUUAAUACAGGAAAUUCAUAAAAAUGUUUGUAAAUUAUCUCCUCGGUGAAAACUGGAUGAGUUUUUUUCGCAUUGCUAAAUAUAUGUUAGUUAACUAAUGAUAGGGAACGUUAAAUUAUUUGUCAUCUGAGCUGAUGCAUUAUGUUUAGUAUGUAAACUUCAUGUGACCAAUAAAAAUACCAAUUUA